AUUGAACGCUGGCGGCAGGCCUAACACAUGCAAGUCGAGCGGAUGAAGGGAGCUUGCUCCUGGAUUCAGCGGCGGACGGGUGAGUAAUGCCUAGGAAUCUGCCUGGUAUUGGGGGAUAACGUCCGGAAACGGGCGCUAAUACCGCAUACGUCCUGAGUGAGAAAGUGGGGGAUCUUCGGACCUCACGCUAUCAGAUGAGCCUAGGUCGGAUUAGCUAGUUGGUGGGGUAAAGGCCUACCAAGGCGACGAUCCGUAACUGGUCUGAGAGGAUGAUCAGUCACACUGGAACUGAGACACGGUCCAGACUCCUACGGGAGGCAGCAGUGGGGAAUAUUGGACAAUGGGCGAAAGCCUGAUCCAGCAAUGCCGCGUGUGUGAAGAAGGUCUUCGGAUUGUAAAGCACUUUAAGUUGGGAGGAAGGGCAGUAAGUUAAUACCUUGCUGUUUUGACGUUACCAAAAGAAUAAGCACCGGCUAACUUCGUG
rnacentral:rRNA from 1 species